rnacentral:rRNA from 1 species
ACCGGGGGGGCAGGUCUACACAUGCAAGUCGAGCGGCAGCACGGGGAGCUUGCUCCCUGGUGGCGAGCGGCGGACGGGUGAGUAAUGCAUAGGAAUCUGCCCGGUAGUGGGGGAUAACGUGGGGAAACCCACGCUAAUACCGCAUACGUCCUACGGGAGAAAGCAGGGGAUCUUCGGACCUUGCGCUAUCGGAUGAGCCUAUGUCGGAUUAGCUAGUUGGUAAGGUAACGGCUUACCAAGGCGACGAUCCGUAGCUGGUCUGAGAGGAUGAUCAGCCACACUGGGACUGAGACACGGCCCAGACUCCUACGGGAGGCAGCGGUGGGGAAUAUUGGACAAUGGGCGAAAGCCUGAUCCAGCCAUGCCGCGUGUGUGAAGAAGGCUUUCGGGUUGUAAAGCACUUUCAGCGAGGAAGAAAGCCUCUGGGUUAAUACCCCAGAGGAAGGACAUCACUCGCAGAAGAAGCACCGGCUAACUCCGUGCCAGCAGCCGCGGUAAUACGGAGGGUGCGAGCGUUAAUCGGAAUUACUGGGCGUAAAGCGCGCGUAGGUGGCUUGGCACGCCGGUUGUGAAAGCCCCGGGCUCAACCUGGGAACGGCAUCCGGAACGGCCAGGCUAGAGUGCAGGAGAGGAAGGUAGAAUUCCCGGUGUAGCGGUGAAAUGCGUAGAGAUCGGGAGGAAUACCAGUGGCGAAGGCGGCCUUCUGGCCUGACACUGACACUGAGGUGCGAAAGCGUGGGUAGCAAACAGGAUUAGAUACCCUGAUAGUCCACGCCGUAAACGAUGUCGACUAGCCGUUGGGACCUUUAAGGACUUAGUGGCGCAGUUAACGCGAUAAGUCGACCGCCUGGGGAGUACGGCCGCAAGGUUAAAACUCAAAUGAAUUGACGGGGGCCCGCACAAGCGGUGAGCAUGUGGUUUAAUUCGAUGCAACGCGAAAACCUUACCUACCCUUGACAUCCAGAGAGUGGCAGAGAUGCCUUCGUGCUUCGGAGCUCUGAGACAGUGCUGCAUGCUGUCGUCAGCUCGUGUGUGAGAUGUGGAUAAGUCCCGUAACGAGCGCAACCCUUGUCCUUAUUGCAGCGAGUAUGUCGGACCUAAGGAGACUGGCGGUGACAACGAGAAAGUGGAUGACGUCGGGCAUCAUGGCCUUACGGCGGGCUACACACUGUAAAUGGGCGGUCAAAGGGAGGCACACUCUCGCGAGAGUGAGGCACUCCUUUAUAUAGGCUCGAUAUCCGCCAUGAGAAGAA